UUUUUUAUUUACUGUGAUCCACAGAUAAAAGAGCAUUUUACCUCAGAACACAACAGUCACAUGCAUAUAUAAUUGAAGCAAAAGCAUCACAAAAUAUUUGCCUUUACAAAUAUGCAUAGUGAUAUUUCUACUCUUCCCUAGUUUAGUUCUUAAAAAUAUUGGUCCCAGUACACUAAAUUGAUUUUUACAGCUAACUAAUGGAUUGUACAGCCUUUCCUGAAAAACACUGAUCUCAACCAGCACUAAUUAUAGUGACUCAUUGCCUUUGCAGUUAAAAUCAAGACUGUUAUGACACAACAGUCUGAUAGUCAGAAAAUACCAAGUAGUUUCCUAUGAAGAGUGGAAGCAGAUAAUGGUAGGAGAUGAGGCUGCGACCCAACCAUAGAAAACCUUGUUCAAACCUCUACUCAGGAGUCACCUUUUUGAAGCUUCCAACUUCCACUUCAUCCUCCAAAUGUGGUGAGGCCCCUCUGUGCAGUUAUGGUCCUCAGGGCAUACAGCUACCAAAGCUUCCAUCAUACUGCAUCACCAAUGCCUGUCUGCUUGACUGAUAUCCUUCACUCAACUGAGCUCCUGAAGCCAGAAACUGGGACUCAAUCUUCUGGAUGCCUAUUCCUACCAAAGGACCUAAUUCAAAAUUGCUGCUCAAUAAACUUUGCCACAAUCAUCUUUUUAUGCAGAGGAUAAAAGAAACAUAAAAUAGUUCACUUUUGUAAGUGCUGAGUUUAAGAUGCUUGGGAGCAUCUGGAGUUUGCAAAAGAGUUCUUCACUGGGAGAACAGAUUUGGGAGUUGUCAGCAAUUAAAGCUAAGGAAAUGAAUGGAGUGACUCAGAGUGUGUUAUGUGGAGGGGAAGGAGGCUGACAUCAGACAGGAUACAGAAUCUAUGAAGGAGUCUGAGAAACUGCCUUUUUAAAAUAGGAAAGAGAACCUGCAAAAUUCAUCACAGUACCUAGUGCAGUGUCUUCCUUGUGCAUAGAAGGCAC